UACGAAGGGGGCUAGCGUUGUUCGGAAUUACUGGGCGUAAAGCGCACGUAGGCGGAAUGUUAAGUCAGGGGUGAAAUCCCGGGGCUCAACCCCGGAACUGCCUUUGAUACUGGCAUUCUCGAGUCCGGAAGAGGCGAGUGGAAUUCCGAGUGUAGAGGUGAAAUUCGUAGAUAUUCGGAGGAACACCAGUGGCGAAGGCGGCUCACUGGUCCGGUACUGACGCUGAGGUGCGAAAGCGUGGGGAGCAAACAGG
rnacentral:rRNA from 1 species